rnacentral:rRNA from 1 species
CCUACGGGCGGCAGCAGUGAGGAAUAUUGGUCAAUGGCCGGAAGGCUGAACCAGCCAAGCCGCGUGAAGGACGAAGGUGCCAAGCAUUGUAAACUUCUUUUGUCAAGGGACAAAAUCAGGCUCGAGAGCCUGACCGAGGGUACUUGAUGAAUAAGCACCGGCUAACUCCGUGCCAGCAGCCGCGGUAAUACGGAGGAUGCGAGCGUUAUCCGGAUUUAUUGGGUUUAAAGGGUGCGUAGGCGGGCUGUUAAGUCGACGGUAAAAGCCCGGGGCUCAACCCCGGCGAGCCGUUGAAACUGGCUGGCUUGAGAGGGCGAGAGGUAUGCGGAAUGCGCAGUGUAGCGGUGAAAUGCUUAGAUAUUGCGAAGAACUCCGAUUGCGAAGGCAGCAUACCGGCGGGGAUCUGACGCUGAGGCACGAAAGCGUGGGUAUCGAACAGGAUUAGAUACCCUUGUAGUC